rnacentral:rRNA from 1 species
GGAGAGGCGGGAGGCGCCGCCGGGUCUGUUCUGACGGACCCCUCUCGCGGGGCCGGGCCCGCGGCGCGGUCUCCCUUUCGCCCGACGCAUUUCCUCCCGCACCGAGGACGCCGCAGCCGGUCGGGUAGCUGCGCGAGUCGGCCGUGAGGGCGGGCGCCGGCAGUUGGCCGGUGGGGGGGGGGUUGGUUUCCUUCGGGGGGCUCUCUCUCCUCCGCCGGUUGUUAGCCGGCCCGUCCGUGGCGCGACACCCGACCGAGGUCUAAUCGGUUCCCUCCUUCGCGGGGGAACUCGCCGUCCCCUUCCCUUAUUCGCUAAGGGCAGCGGGCGCUCUCUGCAGGCGGUCCGCGGUGCCGCCGCGCCACCCCUCGCGGUGGCCGGCGCUCCGAGGUGGCAGCCUGCGUCCCGCGGCGGGGCACGCGGCUUGCGGCGAGCGGGUCGGUCACCCACCCGACCCGUCUUGAAACACGGACCAAGGAGUCUAACAUGUGCGCGAGUCACGGGGUCUUGAUCAGGCCCAGGGGCGCAAUGAAAGUGAAGGCCGGUCCUCCGCGGCCGGCCGCGUUGGGAUUCCCCCCCCUCCCCCAAAUUCUUGCCGGAGCCGGGGGGGAGGCACCAACGGCCCGCCCUGUCCGAUUCAUCGGUGGGGCGGAGUCCGAGCGCACACGUUGGGACCCGAAAGAUGGUGAACUAUGCCUGGGCAGGACGAAGCCAGAGGAAACUCUGGUGGAGGUCCGUAGCGGUUCUGACGUGCAAAUCGAUCGUCAGACCC